UACGUAGGGGGCUAGCGUUGUCCGGAUUUAUUGGGCGUAAAGAGCGUGUAGGCGGCCAUGUAGGUCCGGUGUGAAAACUCGAGGCUUAACCUCGAGAUGUCAUCGGAAACCAUUUGGCUAGAGUCCGGAAGAGGAAAGUGGAAUUCCUGGUGUAGCGGUGAAAUGCGCAGAUAUCAGGAAGAACACCAAUGGCGAAAGCAGCUUUCUGGGACGGUACUGACGCUGAGAACGCGGAAAGCGUGGGGAGCGAACAGG
rnacentral:rRNA from 1 species